rnacentral:rRNA from 1 species
GACGAACGCUGGCGGCGUGCCUAAUACAUGCAAGUAGAACGCUGAAGGAGGAGCUUGCUUCUCUGGAUGAGUUGCGAACGGGUGAGUAACGCGUAGGUAACCUGCCUGGUAGCGGGGGAUAACUAUUGGAAACGAUAGCUAAUACCGCAUAAGAGUAGAUGUUGCAUGACAUUUACUUAAAAGGUGCAAUUGCAUCACUACCAGAUGGACCUGCGUUGUAUUAGCUAGUUGGUGGGGUAACGGCUCACCAAGGCGACGAUACAUAGCCGACCUGAGAGGGUGAUCGGCCACACUGGGACUGAGACACGGCCCAGACUCCUACGGGAGGCAGCAGUAGGGAAUCUUCGGCAAUGGACGGAAGUCUGACCGAGCAACGCCGCGUGAGUGAAGAAGGUUUUCGGAUCGUAAAGCUCUGUUGUAAGAGAAGAACGAGUGUGAGAGUGGAAAGUUCACACUGUGACGGUAUCUUACCAGAAAGGGACGGCUAACUACGUGCCAGCAGCCGCGGUAAUACGUAGGUCCCGAGCGUUGUCCGGAUUUAUUGGGCGCAAAGCGAGCGCAGGCGGUUAGAUAAGUCUGAAGUUAAAGGCUGUGGCUUAACCAUAGUACGCUUUGGAAACUGUUUAACUUGAGUGCAAGAGGGGAGAGUGGAAUUCCAUGUGUAGCGGUGAAAUGCGUAGAUAUAUGGAGGAACACCGGUGGCGAAAGCGGCUCUCUGGCUUGUAACUGACGCUGAGGCUCGAAAGCGUGGGGAGCAAACAGG